CCUACGGGGUGCAGCAGUGGGGAAUAUUGGACAAUGGGCGAAAGCCUGAUCCAGCAAUGCCGCGUGUGUGAAGAAGGUCUUCGGAUUGUAAAGCACUUUCGACGGGGACGAUGAUGACGGUACCCGUAGGAGAAGCCCCGGCUAACUUCGUGCAGCAGCCGCGGUAAUACGAAGGGGGCUAGCGUUGCUCGGAAUGACUGGGCGUAAAGGGCGCAUAGGCGGUUUAUGCAGUCAGAUGUGAAAUCCCCGGGCUUAACCUGGGAACUGCAUUUGAGACGCAUAGACUAGAGGUCGAGAGAGGGUUGUGGAAUUCCCAGUGUAGAGGUGAAAUUCGUGGAUAUUGGGAAGAACACCGGUGGCGAAGGCGGCAACCUGGCUCGUUACUGACGCUGAGGCGCGAAAGCGUGGGGAGCAAACAGGAUUAGAUACCCUAGUAGUC
rnacentral:rRNA from 1 species